CUGCUGCCUCCCGUAGGAGUUUGGGCCGUGUCUCAGUCCCAAUGUGGCCGUCCACCCUCUCAGGCCGGCUACUGAUCGCUGCCUUGGUGGGCCGUUACCCCGCCAACUAGCUAAUCAGACGCGGAUCCAUCGUAUACCACCGGAGUUUUUCACACUGCCCCAUGCGGAGCCGUGCGCUUAUGCGGUAUUAGCACCUAUUUCUAAGUGUUAUCCCCCGGUAUACGGCAGGUUAUCCACGCGUUACUCACCCGCCCGCCACUAA
rnacentral:rRNA from 1 species